rnacentral:rRNA from 1 species
ACUUCUUCUUCUCUCUUUCUCCUUAUUUACUUUUCUUAAAGCGCUUUCAGGCGGUGCGAUAAGUCGUGCGUGAAAGCUCCCAGGCUUAACCGGGAGAGGACGUGCGAGACUGUCGGACUAGAGGCAGGUAGAGGCAAGUGGAAUUCCGGGUGUAGUGGUGAAAUGCGUAGAGAUCCGGAGGAACCCCGGUGGCGAAGGCGACUUGCUGGGCCUGAACUGACGCUCAGACGCGAAAGCAUGGGGAGCGAACGG